rnacentral:rRNA from 1 species
CAGUAGCCGCGGGAAUACAGAGGAUGCAAGCGUUAUCCGGAAUGAUUGGGCGUAAAGCGUCUGUAGGUGGCUUUUCAAGUCCGCCGUCAAAUCCCAGGGCUCAACCCUGGACAGGCGGUGGAAACUACCAAGUUGGAGUACGGUAGGGGCAGAGGGAACUUCUGGUGGAGCGGUGAAAUGCGUUGAGAUCGGAAAGAACACCAACGGUGAAAGCACUCUGUUGGGCCGACACUGACACUGAGAGACGAAAGCUAGGGGAGAAAAUGGGAUUAGAUACCCCGGUAGUCCCUGUCUCAUAUAC